rnacentral:rRNA from 1 species
AUUGAACGCUGGCGGCAGGCCUAACACAUGCAAGUCGAACGAGUGGCGGACGGGUGAGUAAUGUCUGGGAAACUGCCCGAUGGAGGGGGAUAACUACUGGAAACGGUAGCUAAUACCGCAUACCAUCGGAUGUGCCCAGAUGGGAUUAGCUAGUAGGUGGGGUAACGGCUCACCUAGGCGCCGAUCCCUAGCUGGUCUGAGAGGAUGACCAUCGCCACUGGAACUGAGACACGAGCCUGACUCCUACCGGAGGCAGCAGUGGGGAAGAUUGCACAAUGGGCGCAAGCCUGAUUCAGCCAUGCCGGGGGUAUGAAGAAGGACUUCUGGUUGUAAAGUACUUUCAGCGAGGAGGCGUUACUCGCAGAAGAAGCAUCGGCUAACUCCUUGCCAGCAGCCUCGGUAAUAC